rnacentral:lncRNA from 1 species
GAAGAUUGAAGAAAACCAGAACUACAACCAUCGUCGGGCGGUGUGACCUUCAAUGCAUUCACUACCACGCGCUUAAGGGGCAUUGCUAAGGGGUGAGAUGAGAAUCGCACAGACCGCUGGGCGGCGCAACCCACCGCCGGGCGGUGGACUCUUCAAUGAUUUCUCUAGAGGACGCUCAAGCAGCAACGCUGAGGGGGUGGAUCAAGUCGUGCCUACCACCGGGCGGUGCAACCGACCGCCAGGCGGUGUACUAUUAGACCUGGGCCAAAAUUCUGUUAUUUUUCUGUGCUAUAUAUAAACCCAUUCGAACCAGAGAAGCUAUCUUUUGGCAGAAAAGACGCAGAAAC